rnacentral:rRNA from 1 species
UUUAUCCUUAAGGGUUCGAAUCCCUUUUUUUCCGAAAAGGAAAAGAUAAGGAAUGUAAAAAAAAGAAUAUAAAAGGAAUAUUGAUAAAUAUUAAGGUGAUAAUAUAUAAGAGUUAUAUUGUUGUUAUAAUUUCAAAUAUUAUAAUUAUAGAUAAUACUCUAAAAAAGGGAAACCAAAAUAUAAAAACGAAGUGAACUGAAACAUCUAAGUAACUUCAGGAAAAUAAAUCAACCGAGAUUUCAUUAGUAGCGGUGAGCGAACAUGAAGAAGCCUAAAAAUUUAAUAAUAUUAAUGAAGAUUAAAUAAUAUUAAUAUAUUAAAUAUAAAUGAUUAAGUAAUACGAUUAUAAUUGUAUGAAUAAAGGGGUACCUUCCUCUAAGGCUAAAUAAAUAUUAUCACAGAAAGUACCGUGAGGGAAAAAUAUUAAUCAGUGUUCUUUUGAGCAGUCUAAGCGUACUCUUAAAAUGAGAAAUGUGAAGGCGUACCUUUUGUAUAAUGGGUCUGCAAGUUAAUAUAAGUUGCGAGCAUAAAUUGCCAAGAGAAAACAAUUUAUUAAUAAGAAUUAGUAGCUUAUAUUAGACCCGAAAGUUAGUGAUCUUAUCUUGAUCAGGAUGUACUUGUGAUAAGUUUUAAAAUCUUAUCCUUGUUAGACCGAACGGGUUAAUGUAGCAAUAUUAUCCGAUGAAUUGAGAUAAGAAGUGAAAGACAAAUCUGACUAACAUAUAGCUGGUUUUCUGCGAAACAUAUUAAAGUAUGGUGUUUAAUUAACUUUUUUUACUUGGUACAGCACUUAAUCUGGACUGGGGAUCAUUAUGGUUUUACUUUUUAGAUUUAAACUCGGAAUAAGUAACAAAAAAAAUUAAAUACUCAGACAUUCUGCGAUAAGGUGGUUUGUCAAAAGGGAAACAGCCCUGAACAAAAUUCUAAAGUUCCAUAAUUUUUAUUAAGUGAAAGAAAGGAGAUACUUAAUCUUAUGCGACCAGUUAAUGGGCUUGACAAUAGCUUCUUUUUAAUGAACAUGUAACAAUGCACUGGUUUUAUUCAUUUAUAUGGAUAAAGUAUCCCGAAGAUACUCGGAUCUAAAAUAAUAUACUGAAAUUUUGUCAUUAUUUAUAUAUUUUUUAUAUUAAUGGGUAGCAGAAUAAUUUAGAUAAUUUUAUUAAUCUUUUUAUAUAUUAUAUAAUAUUAUAGAGAUAAUAUUAUUUUAAGUGAUUCAUUUAAAAUAUUAAUACUAAAUAAGCGAAUGCUAGACAUAAGUAACUAAAAGGACACAAAAAGUCCUAACCUUAAAGCAUAAAACGAAAUAAAGAAAACUUAAGAAUAUACGGUCUCUAAAUUAAUUUGUGAAAGGAAAUAAUGAUGAGAAUAAUUAAAAAAACUAUUAAUAAUGUUAUAGGGUAAUUUACAUUAUUAUAUAAGUUCAUUAUAUUAAUUAAGAUUAUACUGUUUAAUAUAAUCCAGGAAAAACUAAUAUAUAAUUAACCGUACGAACACCGUUUAAAGGAAUGCUGGUAGAGAAUACUAAGGUUAAAGAGAAAACUAUCGCGAAGGAACUCGGCAAAAAUGCUCCAUACGUUUGACAAUAAGGAGUACCUUUAUUUUAUAAUAUAUUAAUUUAUUAGAAAAUUUAUAUAAAUUAAUGAAUCCCUAUUAAUGGUUAUAAAAUAAUAUUAAGGUAGCAUUAAAUUUAGUUGUACAACUGUUUACUUAAAACAUAGCACUUUGCUAAGAUAAAAAUCUUUGUAUAAGGUGUGAACUCUGCCCAAUGACAUAGGAUGAAUAAUAGAUCUCAAAUAUAAUAUAUAUUAAUAAGUUGUAACAAAAUAUUAAUAUAUUUAUAUUAAAAUAGGUGAUAUGAUAAAUCUUGAACAAAUGGCGGCCUUAACGUGAGGGUCCUAAGGUAGCGAAAUUCCUUGUCCGCUAAAUACGGUCCCGCAUGAAUGACGAAAUGAUACAACGACUGUCUCCGCGAAAGACUCAGUGAAAUUGAAUUCGCAGUGAAGAUGCUGCGUACUUGUAGCUAGACGGAAAGACCCUAUGCAGCUUUACUACUUUAAGAUGUGGCUAUAGAGUUAAAAAUUGAAAGGUAAUCGAUUAGAUACAACUUAAAACCUUUAGUUUUUUAAUUCACUGCUUAUAUAUUAUAUAUUAGCUUAUACCCAUUAUUAGAUUUAAUUUAUUGUUUAAUUAUUUUUCCUAGAAAUAUUUAAAAUAAUAUUUUAAUUUUAAUAAUUUUUGUUAAUUUUUAUAUACAACAUCUUUUAGGUAGUUUUAGUGGGGCGCUAAUAUCAGAAAGAGUAUCUGAUAUGCCUAUAUUACUUAAUAAUUUUUUAUGGAUAAAUUUAACUUUAUUCAAGACUGCUAUUUAGUCUUUAAAUAUUGUAUGGUUCCAACUAUAAGGUAAGUAGUUAAAGAUAAUUUUAGUAAAAAAAUUUUAUUAUUUAUUAAAAACUUAUAUAUUAUAUGUAUAAUAUAUUAAUUUGAAUUUUUUGAAGAGCGAAAUGGUAUAACCAUGCAACAACUGUAAAACUCACAAGUUUAACAGGCACGCAAGUGGGGCAUAUUGAUCAGGAUAAUCAUCAUGGAAUGGUUUCUGUUUAACGGAUAAAGUUACGCUAGGGAUAACAGGCUGAUCGCGCGCGAGAGUUCAAAUUGGCUGCGCGGCUUGGCACCUCGAUGUCGACUCAACCUAUCCUCCAGGUAGCAGAAGCUUGGAAGGGUUCGGCUGUUCGCCGAUUAAAAGGUUACGCGAGUUGGGUUAAGUACGUUGUGAGACAGUACGGUCCCUAUCUACUACAAGAUGAUGUGUAUAAUUAGAAUAGCGCAUUAGUACGA